UACGUAGGGCGCAAGCGUUGUCCGGAAUUAUUGGGCGUAAAGAGCUCGUAGGCGGUUUGUCGCGUCUGCUGUGAAAACUCGAGGCUCAACCUCGGGCUUGCAGUGGGUACGGGCAGACUAGAGUGCGGUAGGGGUGACUGGAAUUCCUGGUGUAGCGGUGGAAUGCGCAGAUAUCAGGAGGAACACCGAUGGCGAAGGCAGGUCUCUGGGCCACUACUGACGCUGAGAAGCGAAAGCAUGGGGAGCGAACAGG
rnacentral:rRNA from 1 species